rnacentral:rRNA from 1 species
AUACGGAGGGGGCUAGCGUUGUUCGGAAUUACUGGGCGUAAAGCGCACGUAGGCGGAUUAAAAAGUUAGAGGUGAAAUCCCAGGGCUUAACCCUGGAACUGCCUUUAAAACUAGUAGUCUAGAGUUCGAGAGAGGUGAGUGGAAUUCCAAGUGUAGAGGUGAAAUUCGUAGAUAUUUGGAGGAACACCAGUGGCGAAGUCGGCUCACUGGCUCGAUACUGACGCUGAGGUGCGAAAGCGUGGGGAGCAAACAGGAGUAGAUACCCGGGUAGUCC